rnacentral:SRP_RNA from 1 species
GCCGGGCACAGUGGCACAUGCCUGUAGUCCCAGCUACUCGGGAUGCUGAGGUGGGAGGAUCGCUUGAGCCCAGGAGUUCUGGGCUGUAGUGCGCUAUGCUGACUGGGUGUCCACACUAAGUUCAGCAUCAAUAUGGUGACCUCUGGGGAGCGGGGGACCACCAGGUUGCCUAAGAAGGGGUGAACCAGCCCAGGUUGGAAACGGAGCAGGUCAAAACUCCUAUGCUGAUCAGUAGUGGGAUCGUGUCUGUGAACAGCCACUGCACUCCAGCCUGGGCAACAUAGCGAGACCUCAUCUUUA